UACGUAGGGUGCGAGCGUUGUCCGGAAUUAUUGGGCGUAAAGCGCACGUAGGCGGUCCUGUAAGUCGGGUGUGAAAGCCCGGGGCUUAACCCCGGAAGUGCACUCGAAACUGUAGGGCUUGAGUAUGGAAGAGGGUCUCGGAAUUCCCGGUGUAGAGGUGAAAUUCGUAGAUAUCGGGAGGAACACCAGUGGCGAAGGCGGAGACCUGGGCCAAUACUGACGCUGAGGUGCGAAAGCGUGGGGAGCAAACAGG
rnacentral:rRNA from 1 species